GGUACCCCAAACCGACACAGGUGGACUGGCAGAGUAUGCUAAGGCGCUUGAGAGAACUGUAUUGAAGGAACUAGGCAAAUUGCCCUCGUAACUUCGGAAGAAGAGGGCCCGGUCUCUACGCAAGUAUUGGCCGGGGGCACAUAGCAGGGGGUGGCGACUGUUUACUAAAAACACAGGGCGCUGCGAAAUCCAAAGAUGACGUAUAGCGUCUGACGCCUGCCCGGUGCUGGAAGGUUAAGAGGAGAUGUGAAAGCGUUGAAUCGAAGCCCCAGUAAACGGCGGCCGUAACAAUAACGGUCCUAAGGUAGCGAAAUUCCUUGUCGGGUAAGUUCCGACCUGCACGAAAGGCGUAACGACUUCCCCACUGUCUCCAAUACAGGCUCAGCGAAAUUGAAUUCCCCGUGAAGAUGCGGGGUUCCCGCGGUCAGACGGAAAGACCCCGUGCACCUUUACUGCAACUUUACACUGGCAUUAGGAAUGGGAUGUGUAGGAUAGGUGGUAGGCAUUGAAGCAGAGGCGCUAGCCUUUGUGGAGCCGUCCUUGAAAUACCACCCUUCUUGUUCCUGAUGUCUAACCGCGACCCGUCACCGGGUCCGAGACAGUGUAUGGUAGGCAGUUUGACUGGGGCGGUCGCCUCCCAAAGAGUAACGGAGGCGCGCGAUGGUAGGCUCAAUCCGGUCGGAAAUCGGAUGUUGAGUGCAAUGGCAAAAGCCUGCCUGACUGCAAGGUCGACGGACCAAGCAGAGACGAAAGUCGGUCAUAGUGAUCCGGUGAUCCCGAGUGGAAGGGUCAUCGCUCAACGGAUAAAAGGUACGCCGGGGAUAACAGGCUGAUCGCACCCAAGCGUCCAUAGCGACGGUGCGGUUUGGCACCUCGAUGUCGGCUCAUCACAUCCUGGGGCUGUAGCCGGUCCCAAGGGUAUGGCUGUUCGCCAUUUAAAGUGGUACGUGAGCUGGGUUUAGAACGUCGUGAGACAGUUCGGUCCCUAUCUGCCGUGGGUGUUCGAAACUUGAGAGGACUUUUUCCUAGUACGAGAGGACCGGAAAGAACGUAUCUCUGGUGGAUCGGUUGUCACGCCAGUGGCAUAGCCGAGUAGCUAAAUACGGACAAGAUAACCGCUGAAAGCAUCUAAGCGGGAAACUUACCUCAAAACCAGGUUUCGCUUGAGAGCCGGGGAAGACUACCCCGUCGAUAGGCCAGGUGUGUAAGCGCGGCAACGCGUUGAGCUUACUGGUACUAAUCGCUCU
rnacentral:rRNA from 1 species